rnacentral:rRNA from 1 species
GAUGAACGCUGACAGAAUGCUUAACACAUGCAAGUCAACUUGAACUUCGGUUUGGGUGGCGGACGGGUGAGUAACGCGUAAAGAACUUGCCUCACAGAUAGGGACAACAUUUGGAAACGAAUGCUAAUACCUGAUAUUAUGAUUAUAUGGCAUCGUAUAAUUAUGAAAGCUAUAUGCGCUGUGAGAGAGCUUUGCGUCCCAUUAGCUAGUUGGAGAGGUAACGGCUCACCAAGGCGAUGAUGGGUAGCCGGCCUGAGAGGGUGAUCGGCCACAAGGGGACUGAGACACGGCCCUUACUCCUACGGGAGGCAGCAGUGGGGAAUAUUGGACAAUGGACCAAGAGUCUGAUCCAGCAAUUCUGUGUGCACGGUGAAGUUUUUCGGAAUGUAAAGUGCUUUCAGUUGGGAAGAAAAAAAUGACGGUACCAACAGAGGAAGUGACGGCUAAAUACGUG